GAGAGCCCGCUGCACCGAAAGGUGCACGGCGGGUUCGGGCCGGGGGCCGCUGGAAAAGGGUCUGCACAGCAGAAACCUCGCCAGCGGCCUACCGGUAC
rnacentral:ncRNA from 1 species